UACGGGGGGGGCAAGCGUUGUUCGGAAUUACUGGGCGUAAAGGGCUCGUAGGCGGCCAACUAAGUCGGAUGUGAAAUCCCCAGGCUUAACCUGGGAACUGCAUCCGAUACUGGAUGGCUUGAAUUCGGGAGAGGGAUGCAGAAUUCCAGGUGUAGCGGCGAAAUGCGUAGAUAUCUGGAGGAAUACCGGUGGCGAAGGCGGCAUCCUGGACCGAGAUUGACGCUGAUGAGCGAAAGCUAGGGGAGCAAACGGG
rnacentral:rRNA from 1 species